rnacentral:rRNA from 1 species
UACGUAGGGUGCGAGCGUUGUCCGGAAUCACUGGGCGUAAAGGGCGCGUAGGCGGCCUGGUAAGUAGGGGGUGAAAUCCUGCGGCUUAACCGCAGGGCUGCCUUCUAAACUGUCAGGCUAGAGCACAGUAGAGGCAGGUGGAAUUCCCGGUGUAGCGGUGGAAUGCGUAGAGAUCGGGAAGAACAUCAGUGGCGAAGGCGGCCUGCUGGGCUGUUGCUGACGCUGAGGCGCGACAGCGUGGGGAGCAAACAGG